rnacentral:rRNA from 1 species
CCAGACUCCUACGGGAGGCAGCAGUGAGGAAUAUUGGUCAAUGGGCGCGAGCCUGAACCAGCCAAGUCGCGUGAGGGAAGACGGUCCUAUGGAUUGUAAACCUCUUUUGUCGGGGAGCAAAGAGGCCUCGUGAGGUCAAAAGCGAGAGUACCUGAAGAAAAAGCAUCGGCUAACUCCGUGCCAGCAGCCGCGGUAAUACGGAGGAUGCGAGCGUUAUCCGGAUUUAUUGGGUUUAAAGGGUGCGCAGGCGGAAUGUCAAGUCAGCGGUAAAAUUUCGGGGCUCAACCCCGUCGUGCCGUUGAAACUGGCGUUCUUGAGUGAGCGAGAAGUAUGCGGAAUGCGCGGUGUAGCGGUGAAAUGCACAGAUAUCGCGCAGAACUCCGAUUGCGAAGGCAGCAUGCCGGCUCCACACUGACGCUGAGGCACGAAAGCGUGGGUAUCGAACAGGAUUAGAUACCCUCGUAC